AGCAAGCUCAUCUAUGCGUGCUUCAAAACACUGAUGAAUUUAGAAGCUACUUUUUGGAACACAUGGAGCAUUUGAAGAGGGAGUUUCCCAAGUACAAAAAGAAUAAAAAAUGGCUGCUGGACAAACAAAACAUGACUUUUGGCCAGUGGGUGAAGGAGAGGGUUGAAUCACAGCUUGCAGAACUAGGUUGUGACAUCCCAGAGAUUGUGAGGUGGCUAGCAGAUGAACCAAGCAAUGAAGUCCCGAAGUUUAGUGGUUAUCAAAUAGGGGGG